rnacentral:rRNA from 1 species
UAGCCGCCGCGGGAAUACAGAGGGUGCGAGCGUUAAUCGGAUUUACUGGGCGUAAAGCGUGCGUAGGCGGCUAAUUGAGUCGGAUGUGAAAUCCCCGAGCUUAACUUGGGAAUUGCAUUCGAUACUGGUUAGCUAGAGUGUGGGAGAGGAUGGUAGAAUUCCAGGUGUAGCGGUGAAAUGCGUAGAGAUCUGGAGGAAUACCGAUGGCGAAGGCAGCCAUCUGGCCUAACACUGACGCUGAGGUACGAAAGCAUGGGGAGCAAACAGGAUUAGAUACCCCCGUAGUCCCUGUCUCUUAUAC